AGCAGCAGCCACGGUAAUACAGAGGGUGCGAGCGUUAAUCGGAUUUACUGGGCGUAAAGCGUGCGUAGGCGGCUUCUUAAGUCGGAUGUGAAAUCCCUGAGCUUAACUUAGGAAUUGCAUUCGAUACUGGGAAGCUAGAGUAUGGGAGAGGAUGGUAGAAUUCCAGGUGUAGCGGUGAAAUGCGUAGAGAUCUGGAGGAAUACCGAUGGCGAAGGCAGCCAUCUGGCCUAAUACUGACGCUGAGGUACGAAAGCAUGGGGAGCAAACAGGAUUAGAGACCCCUGUAGUCCCUGUCUCUUAUAC
rnacentral:rRNA from 1 species